UUACGACAUGAGUCUGUAAAGUAGUAAUAUUAAUGUUCAAAUUGGUAAUAUGAGUAUGAGUCUUUUUUUUAUCACUUAAGGACUCAAUUACCACUUUAAGCACACAAUUUAUCACUUGAGGACUAAUAUUGUAACUAAAAAUGACUCAUAUCCAGAGCGAGUAAGUAAUAACAUUCUAGUGAGGAAAGUUUACACACAUCUAAUAACUAACCUAUACUACUACCACCUGAAAAUAAUCUUAAAAAAGCGAUGGGUUAUAGAUUAGCCCUGACGCUAUUUCCUUAAGCCAGCUCGUAACAUUUUAUAAAAUUAAAAAGCAAGUGAAAUAGCCUAAUUUAAGCUUAGACCCUGCCCAAAAGAACCAGGCCCAUUAGCGCACUCGAUGAUGCCACAAGAGUCUAAGUACCCUCUGGGUGCUAUCUAUUUGAUCCCCUUGUGGAUCUCACUUUCUUUCUUCAACUUGUUUUCACGGUUGAGUUGUUCGCAGAAGAUUUUCCUCAAUAUGAUCGAGGGAUGGUUUGAUAUCUGAGUCUUAGCUUCUUAUUUUUAAGUCUGGAUGACAAGUUGUUAGGUUGUCGAUGAGAACCGCUAAGGCUUUAUUAGGCUCUUUGGUCUGUGUCAUUCAAGCUACAUGGAUUUGGUCAAAUUGUUGUUGUGAUGGCUAACGCGAUAGUGUUCAUAUUUAUAUACCGUUGUUGUUGUUUUUUUUUUUUUUUUUUUUUUUUUUUUUUUUUNUUUUU
rnacentral:lncRNA from 1 species